AGUGAACGCUGGCGGUAGGCCUAACACAUGCAAGUCGAACGGCAGCACAGUAAGAGCUUGCUCUUACGGGUGGCGAGUGGCGGACGGGUGAGGAAUACAUCGGAAUCUACUUUUUCGUGGGGGAUAACGUAGGGAAACUUACGCUAAUACCGCAUACGACCUACGGGUGAAAGCAGGGGAUCUUCGGACCUUGCGCGAUUGAAUGAGCCGAUGUCGGAUUAGCUAGUUGGCGGGGUAAAGGCCCACCAAGGCGACGAUCCGUAGCUGGUCUGAGAGGAUGUCGCGCACCACGGAAAUGGAAAACGGGCCCAGCCCCUACGGGGGGGAGGAGUGGGGGAUUGUGGAAAAAGGGGCGCAGUCUUGAUCCACCAAUCCCGGGGGGAGGAAGAAGCCUUGGGGUUGUAAAGCCCUUUUUGUGGGAAAAAAAAAGCAGCAGUUAAAUACCCCGUUGUCCUGAGGGACCCAAAAAAAAAAGCACCGCCUAACUUGGUG
rnacentral:rRNA from 1 species